UUAUUGGGCGUAAAGAGCUCGUAGGUGGCUUGUCACGUCGGGUGUGAAAGCUUGGGGCUUAACUCCAGGUCUGCAUUCGAUACGGGCUGGCUAGAGGUAGGUAGGGGAGAACGGAAUUCCUGGUGUAGCGGUGAAAUGCGCAGAUAUCAGGAGGAACACCGGUGGCGAAGGCGGUUCUCUGGGCCUUACCUGACGCUGAGGAGCGAAAGCGUGGGGAGCGAACAGGAUUAGAUACCCUGGUAGUCCACGCUGUAAACGUUGGGCGCUAGGUGUGGGGACCUUCCACGGUUUCCGCGCCGUAGCUAACGCAUUAAGCGCCCCGCCUGGGGAGUACGGCCGCAAGGCUAAAACUCAAAUGAAUUGACGG
rnacentral:rRNA from 1 species